ensembl:lncRNA
GGGGACCGAACCCAGGACCUUGUGCUUGCUAGGCAAGCGCUCUACCACUGAGCUAAAUCCCCAACCCUGGUUGUUGUUUUCUUACAGUGACUCGCUAAGAUUGUCUUGAUCCUGUCAAGGGAAAAAGUAAUAGACUGAGAAAACAGUUUCCAGACAAUAGCAGCAAUCUGAGCGAACAGUGCAGUGGCUGUUGUGAUGGCUAGUCUUGGUUGUCAGCCUAGCUACAUCUGGGAUUAUCUAAAUCCAAAAUUGGAGGGCACACUUGUGAGAGGCUUUUAUUUUGAAGAAGGAAUAUCUACUUCUAAUCCAGAUCUUUGAGGUAGGAAGGAACACCUUUUAAUUGGCAUGUCUUUAAUCUGGAACUUAAGGCAGGAAGACAUACCUUUAAUCUUUAAUACAAGCAAUACAUUCUGCCAGAAGCUUGUAAGGAUAUAGAAGAAGGUAGCUUUGUUCUUUGCCUACUUGCCCUUGCCUUGCUAGCAGAUCCAUUCUUUGACUGACACUAGAGCCUACUUCUUCAAGAGUCCAGGGUACACUGAAGACCUGCUGAGACAUCCAGCCAUGUGGAGUGUGCAACUACUGGAUUCUUGGACUUUCUGUUGGGUUAGCUGGACUUUAUCCAGCUGGGGACCGAACCCAGGGCCUUGCGCUUGCUAGGCAAGCACUCUACCACUGAGCUACAUCCCCAACCCCUGCCUAGUGUAAUUUAAUGCCAUCUGAAAAUGAAGAAUGGGAUAGUUGUUUAAUGUUGUGAAGUUAAAGCCCUAAGUUAAGCUCUCCUAACUUGAGGAGCAUCUGGAUAUCCAGUAUCAUCUGUAACUUCAAGAACUUCACUGAAGGUCUUGGAGAAUAUCACCUAUACACUUAAAUUACAUUCUUUUAUAAAAUUAAAUGUGUAGGUAGAAGUCCGACUAGGAGAUAGAAGAUCCAUGGGAUCAUAAGAUAUGGGUAAAGAAAUCAAAGAAUUCAUGUACUGGCGGGAUAAGGUGUUUUGUGUACAGUGGUAGAGUGGC